UACGGAGGGGGCUAGCGUUGUUCGGAAUUACUGGCGUAAAGCGCACGUAGGCGGACUGUUAAGUCGGGGGUGAAAUCCUGGGGCUCAACCUCAGAAUUGCCUCCGAUACUGGCAGUCUCGAGUGCGGGAGAGGUGAGUGGAAUUCCCAGUGUAGAGGUGAAAUUCGUAGAUAUUGGGAAGAACACCAGUGGCGAAGGCGGCUCACUGGCCCGUAACUGACGCUGAGGCACGAAAGCUAGGGGAGCAAACAGG
rnacentral:rRNA from 1 species